GCAUGUGUAAGUGUAAAUAAUUUUACUUUGAAACUGCGAAUGGCUCAUUAUAUCAGUUAUAGUUUAUUAGAAAUAUUUUACUACUUGGAUAACCGUAGUAAUUCUAGGGCUAAUACAUGAGUAAAACCUCAACUUCGGAAGAGGUGUGUUUAUUAGUAUGAAAACCAUAUAUCUUCGGAUAUAAUAGUGAGUAAUAAUAACCUUUCAUAUCGUAUGUCGUAAGAUAACGAUAGUUCUUUCAAGUUUCUGCCCUAUCAGCUUUCGAUGGUAGUAUAUGGGACUACCAUG
rnacentral:rRNA from 1 species